GGAGACCUUGUUGUGGCCUUCCAGUAUCUGAAGGGGGCUACAAGAAAGCUGCUUAGGGACUUCUUAGGCUGGGAGGUAGCGAUAGAACUGGGGAGAAUGGAGCAGAACUAGAAGUGAGUAGAUUCAGACUGGAUGUUAGGAAGAAGUUCUUCACCACGAGGGUGCUGAGACACUGGCAGAGGUUGCCCAGGGAAGUGGUAGAAGCCUAUCCCUGGAGGUCUUUAAGGCCAGGCUGGAUGUGGCUCUGGGCAGGCUGAUCCAGUGUGAGGUGUCCCUGCCCAUGGCAGGGGGGUUGCAACUGGAAGAUCUUGAAGGUCCCUUCCAACCCAUUCUAUGAUUCCACAAACAUCAGGCAGUUCACUGACAAACAGCCAGAGUUGGACUAUAAAACAGCAAAGAACCUCCAUGCCAUAUCCCUUUGAGCUCUCUCCCGACAAAGUGAAGGAAAUAAGAGGAACAAGUGAAAAACCAAAGCUGCUGCUUCUUUGGUUUGCAAACAGCUGAGAUCCCACCAAGGCAACGGCUGAGACACCACCUGUGGCAAAUCAGGAGGCAAAGCAGCUGAGCAUGGGGCAGCUCUCCUGGUUUGCAUAAACCCAAGAGAAGCAGAUGAUUGCUGCCCAUUGUCCUCACCCCUCCCCAGCUAAGUCGUGCCCUCAUCUCAGGCAUUUGCAGCUUGUUAGGACCUUAACUGACUCUUGGGCGUGCCCCAGCAGGCAGCUGGGUUUCAAAAUACCCAGAAACCAGGCGAUCAGGCCUGGCCACUCUGCUCCCUCACGGUUUAGCUGGCAAACAGUGGCUGCUGAUUCACAGCUCGCAGAGCACAGCUUCUCUGCUUUCACAAGCCCUGGAAGAGCUCAAGAGGGAGACCCAGCUAACAGCGUGGUCCUGCCACUGAGCUUGCAUCCUGGGGUGUGCUUCCUGCUGCUCCGGGUUCCCUUCGGAGUGCCAUCGCUGGCACCAUGAGCAACACAGGCACAAGAAGCGAUCCUCGAUUCUGAAAGAUGGAGCUGGUCCCCAGCGCCCUUCCUUCUGGUCAGCUUCGUCAUCUCAGGAGGGCAAAGCUGCCUGGCAUCGUGCUGGGACUCUCGCUCUAGAGCUCUUGGGAGGUGAAGGGAUGAGUUCCCAUCUGAAUGGCACAGUAAUCCUUGGACAGCUUUGAGAAGAGUGGCCUCACCUGCCUGCUCUGCCUCAAAUCAGCAUGUGGCCAGCUGAGGACAAUCCACCGCACUUUUACAGGUGCCACUCUCCCAGGCGUUGACCCUCGACUCUGCUCUCAUCAUGCUGCGGUGGCCACACUGAUAGGAGGAGAGCACGUUAGGAGGAGAAGGAGGACACAGCUCUUCUUGAGUGAACUGAUCCCGAGUGGGACGAGCCAGAGCGUUCGGUGCUGUCUGCUGCUAUUGC